AGUGAACGCUGGCGGUAGGCCUAACACAUGCAAGUCGAACGGCAGCACAGUAAGAGCUUGCUCUUACGGGUGGCGAGUGGCGGACGGGUGAGGAAUACAUCGGAAUCUACUUUUUCGUGGGGGAUAACGUAGGGAAACUUACGCUAAUACCGCAUACGACCUACGGGUGAAAGCAGGGGAUCUUCGGACCUUGCGCGAUUGAAUGAGCCGAUGUCGGAUUAGCUAGUUGGCGGGGUAAAGGCCCACCAAGGCGACGAUCCGUAGCUGGUCUGAGAGGAGGCAGAGCGAAGCUGGAGGUAAGAGAGGGCACUGGCUCAUACCCGGGGCAAGCGAGAGGAAUUGUGGACAAUGGGCGCUAGUCUUAUCCAGCCAUUCCGCUUGGAAACAAAAGGCCCUCGUUAUGUACCGCCUUUUUUGUCGGUAAGAAAAGCAUCAGCUUAAUCCCACGCCGUUCUGACGGUACCUAAAAAAUAAGCACCGACUAACUUCACG
rnacentral:rRNA from 1 species